GAAGGGAAUGCUCCAAUAUCAAGCUCCAAUCUGUUUGAUCAGAAUCCAUCAACGAGAUCUACUUCUUUGAUACAGAUUAGUCAAUCAUCAAGUAAUUUAUCUUCAACUAAUUCAUAUAAUAACCGUAAAUCCUUUAGAGGAACUCGAGCUGGCAAAAUUACUAAAGAAUAUCACCACGCCAAAAGCUUCUCUAUCUUCUUGUGGAGUUUGUUGAAUGAAUGUCAUUCCAGACAUAAUACAUGAAAUAUUAAACUAAUAAAAACAAUCAUGUUUUUUAUUAUUUUGUAAAAAAACAGUAGUAUUGAGA